AGGUGCUUGCCUCGGGUCCCUUCCCCCCGCUUGCGGGGAGAAGGUGCCGGCAGGCGGA
rnacentral:sRNA from 1 species